AGUGAACGCUGGCGGUAGGCCUAACACAUGCAAGUCGAACGGCAGCACAGUAAGAGCUUGCUCUUACGGGUGGCGAGUGGCGGACGGGUGAGGAAUACAUCGGAAUCUACUUUUUCGUGGGGGAUAACGCAGGGAAACUUACGCUAAUACCGCAUACGACCUACGGGUGAAAGCAGGGGAUCUUCGGACCUUGCGCGAUUGAAUGAGCCGAUGUCGGAUUAGCUAGUUGGCGGGGUAAAGGCCCACCAAGGCGACGAUCCGUAGCUGGUCUGAGAGGAUGAUCAGCCACACUGGUACUGAGACACGGUCCAGACUCCUACGGGAGGCAGCAGUGGGGAAUAUUGGACAAUGGGCGCAAGCCUGAUCCAGCCAUACCGCGUGGGUGAAGAAGGCCUUCGGGUUGUAAAGCCCUUUUGUUGGGAAAGAAAAGCAGCAGGUUAAUACCCCGCUGUUCUGACGGUACCCAAAGAAUAAGCACCGGCUAACUUCGUG
rnacentral:rRNA from 1 species